rnacentral:misc_RNA from 1 species
AUGAACGAGCAAGAAAAAGAUGAUAACGGAUAUAAAAUCAUUAAAUACAUAAAAAGAUGUAUAACGGAUCCUUUAAAGCUGCGCACUCAGAGAUCGAAGAAGACUUUCUACAUGUUACGACAUCAACAAAUAUUCAGAGAAGAAAAUGACUUUACAUCAGAUGGUGAAGAGAGUGGUGGUGGUGGAGGAGGUGGCGAGGAAGCCGUGGAUCUCACAGCGACGAGAUCUCAUCAGGGCGACGAUGAUCCUAUGGAAGAGGAUGAGGAAGAAGGUAUUGAUGAACAAGACGAACAGGAUGAAGAUGAGGAGGGCUCUCGCAAACAGAUUCAUCAUCGACAAGACGCGGAGAACAAUAAUAAUUUUGUGGAGAGCGGCUUACCUACCGCUAUAUUCCCACCAGCUGGAACUAGUCACGUCACCCUCGAAGCCCUUCAGAAUACAAAAGUGGCGGUCGCUCAGUUCGCUGCCACUGCUCUUACUGGGGCAGACAGCGAAGCGGCGCUACAAGACCUGGCAUUUCUGGAAAACACGUUGUGCACCCUUCAGAAUCAACAGGUAUUACAAUUACAGUUGAUUCGACAACUUCAGCAGCAAUUAUUGAUCACUCACGGGCAAUCGGUAAUGCAAUCGUCGACAGAGCCAACCGAUAACAAAGAGGCUUCGCCGUCUCCUAUUAUUCAUCCGAAACCAUUGUCGAGUCUCGCGUCACCUCCUUCUUCUCGUCCGCCAAGUCAUCAUCAGCAAACAUCACCGGCGCCGCUGACACCGAGUCUACUUCAGGAACGACCCACCUCGACGAGCAGCGCCUCUCCUUUGAAUCUACCCUUAUCUUCGUCCAGCACGACAUCAACUGUCAUUACGACCACCAGCAGCCAGAUGCCGAUGCCACAUCAAAUACCACAUUGCUCGAUAAGCGCUUCCCUCGCUUCAUCGAUCAUAACGAACACCGAUCCGCCUCCGCUUCACGAGCCAAAUACUCUGGACAUUCUUCAAAAACGUACCCAGGAAGUAUUGGAUAAUGCGAGUCAAGGACUAGCUAACAAUUUGGCCGACGAGCUCGCGUUUAGAGGCAAGGGCUCGCGACUAUCUCCUUACGAUUCGAAAUCAAGCGGUGGUCGCGGCGAGCCCUUCUUCAAGCAUCGAUGUCGCUUCUGUGGCAAAGUCUUCGGUAGCGACUCGGCGCUACAAAUCCACAUACGAUCCCACACAGGUGAGCGACCUUUUAAGUGCAACGUAUGUGGCAGUCGAUUUACGACCAAGGGCAACCUGAAGGUCCACUUCCAAAGGCACACGGCCAAAUUUCCACAUGUUAAGAUGAAUCCGAAUCCUGUUCCAGAACAUUUAGAUAAAUAUCACCCACCCCUCUUGCAGCAAAUUGCUUCCGGGAGACCGAUGCCGUCUCCGCCGCCGCCGCCACCACCAUCCUCUCAUCACCCCCCGUUUCAUCCGGCAACAACGCACGGUUUCCUCCCACCACAACCACCCAUACCUCUGAGUCUCACCUUAUCCAAUAUGACGCCCCUUUAUCGAUCUCCAGUUAUUAAUCAUCGGGACGAUCAAGAUGUACCGGAGAAUCUUAGUAAACCUAUAACCACCGCUCCACAGACAUCUCCCACUUCUCCCGCUGCCGUAUUGAAUUCUCGUCAUUCCUUUCAUGACAAUCUCCAUCAACAACAUCAAAAGCAGCAGCUUGAACAGAGAGAGGAGAUAAAACUCGAACAGAGAUCACCCGUACAGGAGCAGUAUCAACGACCGAUGAGUCGGGAAGGCGCUGAGCGAAUAACACCGAAGAGAGAACCUGAGGAAACGGAAGAAGCUGCAGAGGAAGAGAGCGAAGAUUUUGAGGAUACCACGAGACGAUACCUUAAUUCACCUCAAUCCGCAAAUCCACCGUCCCAACCGCAAACGUACGAGGAUUGUAGUAUGGAUAGCAAAAUCAGUGGACGUUUAGAGGGCGAUGGAGAGAUGGAAGUGGACGAGGAAAUAGAAGAGCAGCCUGAAAAUCUCUCAGGCAGAGGUACAAUUAAUCGUUUGCCUCAACAGAUCGUGACAUACCCAGGAGCAUCACCAGCCAGCAGUAGCGCGAGUAGCGGUAGUUUACAGACAUCUUUCGCUGGGAUUCUGUUUCCAGGUCCCCCGGCUCAUCACCAAAUUCCUCAUCUUCCUGUUUCUACACAGACAGGACCAACUACGACAUCCGGAAAUGAAAUGAUCGAUCCAGCAAAGGACCCAGCAAUUUAUUCGACUUUACUACCACGGCCGGGCAGCAAUGACAAUUCCUGGGAGAGCUUGAUUGAAAUAACGAAAACUUCAGAAACGUCCAAGCUACAGCAACUAGUCGACAAUAUCGAGCAUAAACUGAGCGAUCCUAAUCAGUGCAUCGUUUGCCACAGAGUGCUCUCAUGCAAGAGCGCGUUACUGAUGCAUUAUCGCACUCACACUGGCGAACGUCCUUUCAAGUGUAAAAUUUGCGGUCGUGCUUUCACGACGAAGGGCAAUCUGAAAACCCACAUGGGAGUGCACAGAGCUAAACCACCACUGAGAGUGUUGCAUCAGUGUCCUGUGUGUCACAAGAAAUUUACGAACUCUCUCGUAUUGCAGCAACACAUACGUCUUCAUACUGGAGAACCCACCGAUCUCAGUCCGGAACAGAUUCAGGCUGCAGAAGUGAAUGAGUUCCCACCUGGUUACCAUCCAUUGGCAUCUUUUCUCCCUCAAGGCUUUCCACCGAUACAUCCGACCAGUACAGGCUUCUCCUUAGGAUUUCCUCCAUCCAGGCAAACGGCCAUCGAACAACAAUUACAGGAGAGUGACGUCGAAACGAAAGAGGAAUCUCAGCACCAACGUCAGAGAUUUAUGGAGGAGCAUAGCGAAGAGAUGGAGGAUCAAGAAGAUGAAGAGCAAGAUCACAGAGAGGACGAUGAGAGGUGCGAAUUGAAUCGCGAUAGGCGUAGCGUCGAAAUUGAAGAGGAACAGGAUCACGAAAGUGAAGAUACAACCGAACACAAGGACGUAACUCUUCCUAUAUUUUCGACUUCGUUGGCAGCACUCGAAAACCAAGUAAGGACCAUCACGACGACAGCCACAACUACGAAUGUAGCUAGGUCGCCGUCCUUUCAUCGAUACAACGGUAGCGAGAAAAGUACUAGCCCACCAACAUCCGGAGCUCCGCUUGAUCUGACGCCCCGUGCUUCGUCCACGCCAGCGUCGGUGGCUUCGGCAUCGCCCACACCACCACCCCAAACCAUGCCGCAUCAUCCACCAAAUCCCUUCGGCAUGUUCGCGGGACUACUACAAGCGGUUUCGUCCACUCCUGCUACUAGUACGAUAGGCACUUCGAACAUAAACAGCGUCACGUCGAUGAAUGCCGUGAAUCCGGGAAGUGGACCCGGCACCGGACCACUAGCCUCGCUGACCACUUCAGCUGUAUUAGCCGCAUCAUCGACCUACAAUCCGCUUGGCCUAGCUGUUGGAGGCCCAGCAGUACGUGGCAACACCACAUGUAAAUUCUGCUACAAGACGUUCGCGUGCCAAUCUGCAUUGGAGAUUCAUUACCGGAGUCAUACGAAGGAGCGACCUUUCAAAUGCAGCAUAUGCGAUCGAGGUUUUUCUACGAAGAACGAUGAUUCCGGUCAGCAAGUAUGUUCCUGCGCGGAUCAACCCUUCGCCGCGAAGGGUCCGAUUCUCCCACAACCCAAUUCCCAAUAUCGCUCGUACCCGGCGAAAUCGGCCGCCGGAAAUAGUGAGAAACCGAAACGCAGGCGGCGGCGGCCUGAGGAACGGAAGAACCGGGGGCGGACAGGAACAGGAGGGGGGCGAAGGCUGACGUCUGUUUAUCCUGCCGUCCGCCUGCCCCCGCUGAUGCCACCCGCCCUCGGACUUCUACCCUCGGACCACGUCUUCCUGGGUAAUAUGAAGCAGCAUAUGUUGACUCACAAGAUUCGCGAUAUGCCGCCACAUCUGUUCAGCGAUCCAAAGCAUCAACAGCAGCAGCAACAGCAACAACAACAACAACAGCAGCAGCAGCAGCAGCAACAGCAGCAGCAGCAGCAGCAGCAACAGCAGCAACAGCAAGAACAAGAGACUUCCAGAAGUCCAAUGUGCGUCGAUGAUUCGAGUCUACCGCCCCCACCUCCACCACCUCCACCACCCCCGCCGAUGCCACCGACGUCCAUCGAGUCUACAAUACCGAUGAAAAGAUCGCCGGAAGGAGAUUUGCCAGCACCGAAAAGACCAGCCAGCCUGCCGAGCAAGCAUUUGUGCCAGAUUUGCAAUAAGAAUUUCUCCUCGUCUUCGGCGCUCCAGAUCCAUAUGAGAACUCACACUGGUGACAAACCAUUCCGAUGCACCGUCUGCCAGAAGGCGUUCACCACCAAAGGCAACCUCAAGGUACACAUGGGUACUCACAUGUUUACCAACGGAACGUCACGCCGAGGUCGACGGAUGUCAUUGGAUAUACCUCCCCUGCCAAUCACGCCCAAGGACUCGGAGUUUCUGCAAAGACGACCGGACCUUUUUUACCCAUAUCUUCCCGCGCCAUUCCUUAACGGCGUCCAGCAGAAGCUGAACGAGAUUUCGGUGAUUCAAAGUAGCAACGGGUUACCGCCCCAUUCCUUGAGCGCGGGUAAAUACGCUGCAAGUCUAUUCGGUUCGGUGUAUGGUGCCGGCGGAGGUGGCUUCUCCUUGGAUAAACCAAUGGGGCCAACUAACGGACCUCUAGUGGAUGGCAAGUCCGCGAUACCUUCGGGAUCCAUGCUCUUCCAAACACCAUCGCCCUCGCAUUCGCCUGGCGCGUCAUCCAAUGGUGGUAAUCAGACGUCCGCUAGCGUGUCUUGGACCGGCGAUACUCUCCAGCACCAUUUCGACCGGGAAACACCGAGCAGAACCGAGAACGACGCCACACCGCCCACAGCACGGUUACCACCGCCACCAGCGAGAGGAGAGGGAUUAGCCGCGUGAAACUUGACGGAUACAUAUCUUUCCACCUAGAUACAUGAAAGGCGCGAAUGUUCGUUCACAGCGGCAGCAUCUCCGCCACCGGGCAAUCUCGACACCGCCAUCCCUCCGUCCCAAUCGGCGAAGGUUUAUUAUCGACUCAUUCGGUCCCACAAGACCGCGCGAUCAUCAGGGAGGAAGCUACGGUUUUCAAUCGCGCAAUGAUGCAUCGCGUAAAGAUGAUUCCGCAAAUCUCGAUCGGAGCAGUCAUAAUAUAUUGCAGCUACCUUUUCCGUGCUGUAUUCGUGCAUUUCAAAAGAAGACAAUCUUCGGAACUGAAAACGAUCGCCUAAUCUCUCACGUCGGGAGAGCACGACCGGAAUGAUCACCGGGACAAUCGCACGACCGAACGUAGCUCGUUGGUGAUCGAGUUUACUUUUGGCAUUUCUCCACGUACGAGUGACGACAUAUCCCUACACACACACUUUCUCUCUCUCUCUCUCCCUCUCUCUUUCUCUCUCUCUCCUUCUCCUUUUUCUUCUUCUUCUUCUUCUUUUUCUUCUCCUCCUCCUCCUUUCUUCAUCCCUCUUUGCGCUCGGUAGUAGUUUUCAAUGUCUGCAAGCAAAGACACCAUGUUCCUAUUAUCGCGCUAGUCUUAAUAUGCGUAAAAGGGGUCGGUAGAUUCCAUCGAUCCGUCGACAGCUUCCGAGUAGGCUAGGACACUGAGAGUUUCGACCCCGAUUCGAAAACUCUCGAUACGCGAUGGGGCUCGAUCGUGUCACCGUCACUAUUCACAUUCAUCGUUUAUUCAAGCCGAAGCUUUCGCGUCGCCGUGAUGCGGGCGAUUCAUGACGAGACGUUCCGCUUAAUAUUGAUCCAGCACGCGUGCUCGAUCGAGCCUCGUAUAACGUACAUACGUAUCUACGUACGAUUCGCGAAUCCUUCGUACGGGAUUCGUGGGAGUCCUCACGUUAGACGCGACGCCUAGACUGAGCUCAGCUCGCAAGAGAAGGCGAGUAUAGGCAUAUUGGAGCCACAAGACACGUGGCGUCGCGUCCUUAUGGGUGUCCCCGACAUAGUUCGACCGUCCAUUCGCGACAGCGGUGGUCACCUCUCCGGGUUAUC